ensembl:sRNA
UCAUAGCCCUGAUGGAAAUGGCAUCCUUUUUAUGAGGUGAUUUUUCUUCACCUCAUAAAAAGAUAUAAUGUACAGCAGGAAAUAGC